GGUUUUAUAUUCAAAAAUGAUUUUAAAUUGCAAAUUUAAAGGUAGAAUUUAAUCUUAAAACCU
rnacentral:tRNA from 1 species